AAAUUAGUGCAAGUCUAAUUAUUCUGAUUAAAAUGAUUUUAUUUUUUGUUAAAUAUUUUAAGGAUAUUUUUAUUUAGUAAUUUUUAUUGAAGGAUAGAAUAAGAUGAUAGUAAAAUAGGUACAGUGAUGGAAUGGUGAAAUAAAGUGAAAUAUUUAUUAAGUUGUUAGAAAAGAUUAAUUCUUGUACCUUUUGUAUCAGGGGUGAAUUAUAAAGGUUAUAAAUUUAUUUUUCCCGAAGAAAAAAGAGUUAUUAUGAAGUUAAAAUUAAUGUAACAGAAUUGAAGUUAAUUUUGUAAUGGUGGUGAAAUGCUAUUCGAUUUUUUUUAUAUUUGGUUCUUUAAUAAGUGAAUUUAGUUCAGCUUUUGAUAAAAAAAGUAAUUUUUUUUUUAUUUUUAUUUUUCAAGAAGUGAGUGCUAAAGGGAUAAUCUUUUAGUAGUUUUAUAAUAAUUAGAGAUUGGAUUAUGAAAAGAUUUAGGAGUGAUUAUUUUAUGUAAUAAUAGAUUUGUAAGUAAUUUUUAAUAUUUUAAAUUAAUAUUAAAGAUAUUUUUUUAAUUGUUAUUGAGUUUUUAUAAUAUUUAUAUUAGUAGAGUGGAGAUAAAAUUAAUUUGUUUGGAAGAUUGUAUUAAAAAAGAGAUAAUGAAAAAUUAAGUUAAGGAAUUCAGCAAUUCUUUUUUUCGCCUGUUUAUCAAAAACAUGGUUUUUUGUUUGGAUAAAAAAUCUGGUCUGCCCAAUGAUAGGUAAUUAAAUGGCCGCGGUAUAUUGACCGUGCGAAGGUAGCAUAAUCAUUUGCUUUUUAAUUGGAGGCUAGAAUGAAUGAUUGGACGGAAAAAGUCUGUCUUAAUUUUAAAUUUUAAAUUUUACUUUUUAGUGAAAAGGCUAAAAUUUUAUCAAGGGACGAGAAGACCCUAUUAAGCUUUAUUUUUGUUUGUUUUUUAUUAUGUUUUUCGUUAUAAAAAAUGGAAGGAAUUUUACUGGGGCGGUAGAGAAAGAAGAGAAUCUUUUUUUAGAAAUUAAAACAUUUAUGUAAAUUUUUGAUCCAUUAUUAAUGAUAAGAAGAAGAAGUUACUAUAGGGAUAACAGCGUAAUUUUUUCGGAGAGUUCAUAUCGGCGAAGAAGUUUGCGACCUCGAUGUUGAAUUAAGAAGUCAAUAGGGCGAAGAAGUUCUAAAUGAGGGUCUGUUCGACCUUUAAAUUCUUACAUGAUUUGAGUUCAGACCGGCGUGAGCCAGGUCGGUUUUUAUCUUUGAUUAAAAGUGAAAUUAUUUUAGUACGAAAGGACCAGAUAAUUGAAAUUUUGUUUGUUUUAUUAGUAUUAGUUUUAUAAUAAUUAAUCUGGCAGAUAAGUGUAUUAGAUUUAGAAUCUAAA
rnacentral:rRNA from 1 species